rnacentral:rRNA from 1 species
UACGUAGGGGGCAAGCGUUAUCCGGAUUUACUGGGUGUAAAGGGAGCGUAGACGGCCAGACAAGUCUGAAGUGAAAAUCCAGCGCUUAACGUUGGAAGUGCUUUGGAAACUGCCGGGCUAGAGUGCGGGAGGGGCAGGCGGAAUUCCUAGUGUAGCGGUGAAAUGCGUAGAUAUUAGGAGGAACACCAGUGGCGAAGGCGGCCUGCUGGACUGCAACUGACGUUGAGGCUCGAAGGCGUGGGGAGCAAACAGG